CCACCAUGGGGAGUAGCUCGAAUAAAGACCGGAGUGCGAUUCCAAUUUCCGGACAACUACUUUGGCAGUAUCCGGGAAAGAUCCCACUUAUCCAUGGAAGGACUAUCUGUGGGAGCAGGAGUCAUAGAUGGUGAUUAUAGAGGAGAGAUUGAAGUGGUAAUGCGAAAUUUGACUAGUUGCUCAAAAAUAAUUGAGAAAGGUCAGGCGGUUGCACAAUUAAUUGUGCAACCAUAUCUGUAUCCAACUCUGGAAAAAAUAGAGGAGUUGGAACCUACGACUAGGGGAGCAGGAGGAUUCGGGUCCUCUAGCCCUUUGAACUUCCCAGAGGGAUCAGCUCGGAGCAGUGAAGUAUAGGAAGGUUCUUCGUUGUUGGUGUCUUCAUCUACGCCCUGCAAAAUAUCAUCCCUCAGCAUCAACGUAAUUACUAAUUAAAAUAUAUAUAUAUACUUACCACGAGAUUUUCCUUCCGUAUCCAAUCAAGAUAUCUUUGGCGAGAUUUGAUCUUAGCAAUCUGUAUUUCGAAUUGUAACACUUCCUGAAUUUUUUGUUUUUUAACUGUAUCGUCUUUUAACCAUUUACGUUGUCGACGGUUUGCAUCCUUUAAAUAAAUUUUU